rnacentral:rRNA from 1 species
GUAGUCUCGCACAGAUGCAUAUCAAUAAGCGGAGGAAAAGAAACUAACAAGGAUUCCCCUAGUAACGGCGAGUGAAGCGGGAAGAGCUCAAAUUUGAAAUCUUAAAGGGUUUCCCUUUACGAAUUGUAGUUUAAAGAAGUGUUUUCUGUUGAGGUUUUGGUAAAAGUUCUUUGGAAUAGGACAUCAUAGAGGGUGAGAAUCCCGUAUUUGACCUUUACUUUCAACUUUGUGAUACACUUUCAAAGAGUCGGAUUGUUUGGGAAUGCAGUCCAAAAUGGGUGGUAAAUUUCAUCUAAAGCUAAAUAUUGGCGAGAGACCGAUAGCGAACAAGUACCGUGAGGGAAAGAUGAAAAGAACUUUGAAAAGAGAGUUAAACAGUACGUGAAAUUGUCAAAAGGGAAGCGUUUGACACCAGUGUUGUUUUUCUGAAAAUCAAUUAAAGAACUGUUUAUGCUAAGCUGUUUAGACUUUAUCAGCUACUGUUUAGUUUUGAGCUUUUCUUUAAUGCACUUUUCAGUUAACAAGUCAACAUCAAUUUCUUUUGCUGUAAAAAAGCUUGAGGAAGGUGGCUUGAGAUUCGUCUUAAGUGUUUAUAGCCUCUUGCCUAUGCAGUCGGAGAGAUUGAGGUCUGCAGCGUAGAUCCUUCGGGGCUAAAUGCAUUUGUGCUAAGUUAUAGCAUUUUAUAGACAACUUGUUGACUAUGAUUUGUCUUGUAGCUUACUCGCUUAUGUUAUUUUACCUACGCUUAGGAUGUUGAUCUGUAGUGCGUGCGC